CAGAGAGAAAGGGACAUGACAAUGUUACGGCAGAGAAAUAUUCCAAGAUGCAUGAUUUGGACAAGAACCCUGAGAGACAUGCUCACCAAGGGGCAGGACAGCCAUGCACAGUGGUCAAGCUCUUGGAUGCUGAUGAGGUCCCUGAGUUCAGAUUGCUCAGAAAGUUGACAGCAGUGAUAGAGAGGAAAUGAGACCAUGUGAACCAGCCUACCAGAAGACUUUGGGGUGACAGCAUGGAAAAUAAAAAAGAUUAAAAAUUGCUGUUUUGCUGCAG
rnacentral:lncRNA from 1 species